AGAGUUUGAUCCUGGCUCAGAUUGAACGCUGGCGGCACGCUUAACACAUGCAAGUCGAGCGGUAACAUGACUAGUAGCAAUACUAGUUGAUGACGAGCGGCGGACGGGUGAGUAACACGUAGGAACUUGCCCAGUAGUGGGGGACAACCAAGGGAAACUUUGGCUAAUACCGCAUAUUCUCGAGAGAGGAAAGCUGCCGCAAGGUGGCGCUAUUGGAGAGGCCUGCGUCCGAUUAGCUAGUUGGUAGGGUAAAAGCCUACCAAGGCGAGGAUCGGUAACUGGUCUGAGAGGACGACCAGUCACACUGGGACUGAGACACGGCCCAGACUCCUACGGGAGGCAGCAGUGGGGAAUCUUGGACAAUGGGGGCAACCCUGAUCC
rnacentral:rRNA from 1 species